UACGUAGGCAGCGAGCGUUGUUCGGAGUACUGGGCGUAAAGGGUGCGUAGGCGGUUGUUUAAGUUUGGUGUGAAAUCUCCCGGCUCAACUGGGAGGGUGCGCCGAAUACUGAAUGACUAGAGUGCGGGAGAGGAUAGUGGAAUUCCUGGUGUAGCGGUGAAAUGCGUAGAUAUCAGGAGGAACGCCGGUGGUGUAGACGGCUAUCUGGACCGUAACUGACGCUGAGGCACGAAAGCGUGGGUAGCAAACAGG
rnacentral:rRNA from 1 species